AUUGAACGCUGGCGGCAGGCCUAACACAUGCAAGUCGAGCGAGCGGCGGACGGGUGAGUAAUAUCUGGGAAACUGCCUGAUGGAGGGGGGAAACUACUGGAAACGGUAGCUAAUAACGCAUACCCUUCGAUGUUCCCAGAUGGGAUUAGCUAGUAGGUGGGGUCACGGCUCACCUAGGCGACGAUCCCUAGCUGGUCUGAGAGGGUGACCCGCCACACUGGAACUGGGACACGGUCCAGACUCCUACGGGAGGCAGCAGGUGGGAAGAUUGCACAAUGGGCGAAAGCCUGAAGGAGCAAUGCCGCGUGUGUGAAGAAGGUCUUCGGGUUGUAAAGCACUGUGAGCGGGGAAGCGUUACCCGAAGAAGAAGCACCGGCUAACUCCGUGCCAGCAGCCGCGGUAAUUA
rnacentral:rRNA from 1 species